rnacentral:lncRNA from 12 species
AGUCCCCGGCGGGGAUCCCCGGUUUUGCACUAAUGACCAUUGUCGGGCGGCCCCUUCCCUGCGCGCCGCUCACUUCCUGGCAGUGAUUCAGCUCGGAUGGGAGCAGAGAGGAGGGGAGGCGGGCUGCAUGGGGCCCUCCCUUCCCGUUUCAGCUCUUUGGUUGGGGCCGCUUGUGGACAGGGGUCCUGCCUCCCUCCCCGGCCACUCCUGCAUUCUCCCCGCGGGGGAGCCCUGGGGGCUGAGCAGGCUCCGGCCGGGUGUGGGCCGGGGAGGAGCUGCCUGCAGGCGGACACAAAGAGCGGAGCCUGGACGGGCCACCUCCGCACACGGCGGCCGUGGUGACUGGGUGGCAGGUUUGGGAGCGGCUUCUCUCUGCAUUUCGGGUUUUUCCUUCCAGGGGACUAGACCGGGGCAGCUCCACGUCGACCUGCCCUCCGUGACUCACCUUGCCCCUCGCCACCUGUGAUGCAGAAGUGUCUGCCGACCAAGCAGGCGACUGAGCUGCAAAGAAGCUGGCUCUUGGCAGCGCCUGGGCCCCCAAGGCGGGGACACCUUCAUCGGGGGGGAGGAGGUAACCUGGACCUUGAUCCUUGACCCUGAGCUCGUGGAAAGGAAACUGGAGAAAUCAAAAAUAACCAUGAGCAGCGUCACCGCACGAAUGUCUGGAAUAACAGAAAUGGUAACAAGCAUAGCAUCCCUGGCAUGGUCUUUGACGCUUUCGGGGAACCCCCAUGUCAGGUUCCCAUAAUCCCCCAGUGAGGCGGCGGCGCAGAUGGGACGGUGGAGAGUGCUGAGGCCCAGGGAGGCUGAGGUCUAGGGUCUCUUGGACAAGGGAGGCGCCAGGCCUGGCCUUUGUCCUCCGCCUCUUGGCCUCGGGGCCUUUGUGUCGGACGUGACCCCCGGGAUGUCACAGAAGCAUUCUCCAAGCUUGUUUGUGGCCAUGACCCUUGGACUUGGCACGUGUCAGACACCUUUCCGAUCAAGAAAGACGAUCAAGAUUCGUUCGCUCGACCGAUGGCUUUCUGGAGCCCCUCUGGGAGCCGGGCUGGGGGCUCUGAGGCUGCGAGAGCAAGUGGGAUGUGCCCCCCCCCCCGCCCCCCAGUCGCUUCGUUCCUUGGGGUGUUACUCCCGCGGAGUUAAAUCUCCUCUGGUGACACUGGGUGGAAUCACCGACCACGAGAUCCCCAAAGUGACCCCCCGCACCCUGAACCAGGAACGGGCAUCGGCCUCUUAAAAUUGCCGGGAGGGGAACGAGGAACGCGGAGCGAGGACGGAGAGGCCGCCGCUGGGUACCUCGGGCUCUGGGCCAGGCCGGGGCUGCGGGAACGAGGCGGGUCCUGGGCUUGGCGAGGGGAGCCGCGGGGGGCAGGUGCCGGGCCACGGCCCAGGGCCCCCGGGGGGGGGGGGUUCAGCCGCAAACGGGCAUCAGAAGGAAACCCGGAGUCCGUCCCCGAGUGCUCACAGCCAUGAAGAGCCUGGCGGGGGGGGGCUGGGGGCCACGCUGCGCCCACGGCACAUACUUUUCUGAAACGGACACGUGGGAUCUUGAAGGCAGAGGCCUCGGGCCGCGGAGCAGCCGGCAUCCCCGCCCGGGGCUGGGGAGAUGGGUCCGCAGCCGUCCCUCCUCCCUCGGCCUCGUCCCUCCUCCCUCGGCCUCGUGCUAGGAACGGCAAGUGCCUCCAUCACCUUUCAGACUUCCCUAAAGCAGCUUUUAUCUACUCGAUACAAUGGCAAGGAGGGGCGCCGGGCGGGGGGGCAGCGGUGGAGCAUCUGCCUCCGGCCCAGGGUGUGACCCCAGGGUCCCGGGAUCGAGUCCCGCGUCGGGCUCCCUGCAUGGAGCCUGCUUCUCCCUCUGCCUGGGUCUCCGCCUCUCUGUGUGUCUCUCAUGAAUAAAUAAAUAAAAUCUUUUAAAAAAUAAAUAAAA